rfam:Dictyocaulus viviparus strain HannoverDv2000 D_viviparus-1.0_Cont16327.1, whole genome shotgun sequence.
GCCUCAGUGGUGUAAUGGAAAGGGCGGCAGACCGGAUAUCCGUAAGCGCGGGUACGAGUCCCGCCUGAGGUU